GUGUGUGUGUGUGUGUGUUUUUUUCGUUUUAGGAGGACAAUUUUCAAGACAAAUCAAAGAGCUAUGAGGACCCUCUGUUACAGGAGGACAUUUUGCUGUCCUCAUAAAAUUGACCUUUUAAAACCGUUUCUGGGCAUGUUUUAAUACCCAAAAAGUGUUUUUCUCAAAAGUCUUUGUAAACCAAAAACUUGACAUAUGUUGUAUAUUUGUGUGUCCGCCACUGCCCCCUGUCGGUUGGAGUUGUCCCCGCAUGCCGCACACACAAGCGCGGGAAAUUAUACACGAGCGCGGGACAUUAUACACAUGGCGCGAAAUUGGAAGCUGCGCAUGCGCAUUUUAGCAUUACCCAUUUGGACCGUGGAUAUUUACAUCAAUGAUUUAGACUGACUGAUUGGGCGCUUCUUAUUCAUCCUUCAAUUUUGGCAGAGUUUUGACACGGAGAAAAGGUAAGAAGGUAAUUAUAAAACUUUUAAAAGACGGACGUUCUGACAGACACAGUGCUUCAGAGUAGGCACAGCCGUGGUGAGGCGGCAGGUGAGGGAACGAACGACGAGGUACGGUGGAAAGCAUACGGCGGAAAGCAUACGGCGGAGAGCGCACCGCGGGGACCGGAUCACGACGAGGUGAGGACGGCGGAGCGGGCCGGAGCACGCGGAACGGUUCACGGAGGUCACAGCAACACGCGGGGCGGGGAUUCCCGGACUGUCCCAAGCACCGGGAUCGUUUUUUUUUUACCCUGGCCUAAUCUCAUCACUUGUUUCAAGGAAAUCAUGUCACGGAGAACCACUCCCCUUCAGGAUGCCAUUAAUCACAUCCUUGCAAGAAGAGACAAGAAUUCAAUGUUAGAAAUCAAAGUUAUUAAUUCAGUUAAAGGUCGUGGCAUCUUCACUUUAGCCAAUUUCAAACAAGGAGACUUUGUGGUCGAGUAUAGAGGGGAGCUUAUUGAUGCAACUGAAGCUGAACACAGACGUAACCUGUACCCCAGCGCAUGUUCAGUCUUCAUGUUUGAAUUCAUAUGGAAGCAGAAGACAUUGUGUAUUGAUGGAGCACUUGAAGAUGGGUCAUUUGGGCGACUAGUAAACGAUGAACACAGGACACCAAAUUGCAGAAUGAAGUUGAUUGAAGCAGAAGGGAAGCCACAUCUCUGCCUUUUUGCACUGAAGGAAAUUGCGGCAGGAAGUGAAAUUACCUAUGACUAUGGUGGGAAAGAAUGGCCCUGGCGGAAAAAGCUAAAGAUCGCAAGCAUCCCUUCUGGUCAACAGUGUGUUGCAGAGCCUAUUGCCCAUGACGUGGAGCACCAUGUGAUCUCUACAGACUCAUUCACAGACAGAGAAUUAAGAGCAGAGUGUCAGUCAUCUAGACCUACAGCAGACAACUCUGAGCAUGAGGUGCAUUCUGUUGGAGGUCAGUGUGGCACUUCUUCUCUGAAAGAGUUAAUUGGUGAAGUUGGUGUCCAGUAUCAGGAGUUGUCACCCCAAGCGUUCUCAGAAGAACUUACCAGUGAGAGCAAAUCGAAAGAGGUGCCACAAUCAUCCAGAGCUGUGCCUAAUGACUCUGCUUGUGAGUGUACAAUUCAUAGGCUGGUAUUUGAAUCGGUGAAACUUGACAAAUGCGGGAUAUGCCAUUCACCUUUGACAGCUAUCAGAUGGCACGGUCUAAGAUGCAAGCGGGACAGGACCACUGCACUGUAUUAAGGAGAAGAUAAACGGGGACAUGGAUUGUGAGAUUUUGGGCCAAAACGUCCUUCCCUCAGUCAGAGCAUUGAAGAUGGGUUCUGGCUGGGUCUUUCAACAAGACAAAGACCUGAAGCACUCAGCCAGGAAAACCAAGGAGUGGCUCCGUAAGAGGCAUUUCAAGGUUCUGGAGUGGCCUCACUAGUCUCCAGACCUCAGUCCAAUAGAAAAUCUGUGGAUGGAGUUAAAAGUCUGUGUUGGCCCAAAACAUGACAGAUCUACAGAAGAUCUGUGUGGAGGAGUGGGUCAAAAGACCUUCUGCAAUGUGUGCAAACCUGGUGAAGAACUACAGGAACUGUUUGGCCGCUGUAAUUGUUAACAAAGGCAAUAUUAAUAUAGUUUGACUCAAGUGUUCAAAUACUUAUUUUACAAAGAAAUAUACAAAAAACUUGUUAUAAAAUCAUACAAUGUGA